CCCUUAGAUGUCCUGGGCCGCACGCGCGCUACACUGAUGCAUGCAACGAGUUUAUAACCUUGGCCUGAAAGGUCUGGGUAAUCUUUUGAACGUGCAUCGUGAUAGGGAUAGAUUAUUGCAAUUGUUAAUCUUGAACGAGGAAUUCCUAGUAAACGCGAGUCAUCAGCUCGCAUUGAAUACGUCCCUGCCCUUUGUACACACCGCCCGUCGCACCUACCGAUUGAAUGGUUCGGUGAAGAUCUCGGACUUCGAUAUUUAUUCUUUAUUGAGUUUAUAUUGUGGGAAGUUAUCUAAACCUCAUCAUUUAGAGGAAGGUGAAGUCGUAACA
rnacentral:rRNA from 1 species